rnacentral:rRNA from 1 species
UACAGAGGGUGCAAGCGUUAAUCGGAGUUACUGGGCGUAAAGGGCGCGUAGGCUGAUAUUUAAGUCGGUUGUGAAAUCCCUGGGCUUAACCUAGGAAUUGCAUUCGAUACUGAAUGUCUUGAGUAUGGUAGAGGAAAGUGGAAUUCUCGGUGUAGUGGUAAAAUACGUAGAUAUCGAGAAGAACACCGGUGGCGAAGGCGACUUUCUGGACCAAUACUGACGCUGAGGCGCGAAAGCGUGGGGAGCAAACAGG